AGAACGACGCUGGCGGCAUGCCUAACACAUGCAAGUCGAACGAGACCUUCGGGUCUAGUGGCGCACGGGUGCGUAACGCGUGGGAAUCUGCCCUUUGCUUCGGAAUAACAGUUAGAAAUGACUGCUAAUACCGGAUGAUGUCUUCGGACCAAAGAUUUAUCGGCAAAGGAUGAGCCCGCGUAGGAUUAGGUAGUUGGUGGGGUAAAGGCCUACCAAGCCGACGAUCCUUAGCUGGUCUGAGAGGAUGAUCAGCCACACUGGGACUGAGACACGGCCCAGACUCCUACGUGAGGCAGCAGUGGGGAAUAUUGGACAAUGGGCGCAAGCCUGAUCCAGCAAUGCCGCGUGAGUGAUGAAGGCCUUCGGGUCGUAAAGCUCUUUUACCAGGGAUGAUAAUGACAGUACCUGGAGAAUAAGCUCCGGCUAACUCCGUG
rnacentral:rRNA from 1 species